CUUCUUAUUUUGACCCCAGCCCCAAAGAGAUGGGAAGAAUCAGAAUGGGAAGAUGUUCUUUCCCAUAUGUGCUGUGCUCAGUCGCUCAGUCGUGUCUGACUAUUUGUGAACCCCUGGACUAUAGCCCGCCAGGCUCCUCAGUCCAUGGGAUUCCCCAGGCAAGAAUACUGGAGUGAGUCGCCAUGCCCCCCUCCAGGGGAUCUUCCCAACCUAUGACUGAACCUGCAUCUCUUGUGUCUCCUGCAUUGCAGGCGAGUUCUUUCCCAUGUAUUCCAGUCAUCAGCAUGUACCGUGAACACUUCCUCCCUGGCUUCUGCUCCCACCUCCUUCCAGCACAUUCCUCCCCAACAGUGUGUCACUGAGGAGGGAGGUGUGGUGGAUCAGUAUCUUCACUGGGGCUUCAGUGCACCCUCCGGCCCAGAGGCUAGUGCCUGGGUCCUGCCCGCUGGGCACCGCUGCAGUUUCUCAAAUGCCUUUCGACACUUACUGCAGGAUGACCUUUGAGCACUGGUGCAAACGCUCAGUCUAUUUUUUCCCAGCCUUGGGGACUGGCCUGCUGUCUCAGUUUCAGCUUCCCAUGUAUUUACUGCCUGCAGAAGGUUGGCGUUCAGCCACCCACUCCUGGAUCUCACAGUGGUCAUCAGUCGUCCCUUAUUCCAGAGCAGUAGUUCUUGACAGUGGAAAUACUGAAAAGCACAGAACGGUGCUUCUAGAAUGUCAACUCUGUGAGGACAGGCACACUCUGCUUUUGCUCAGCUUUGGAUUAUCUGGAUCCACAAUUCCAAGAAUGGUGCCUGGCACACAGGAAAUGCUCAUCAGGAAGUGCAUUCUGAACGAAUAGGUGUGAAAUGUGAGCGCCUAGAGGAAACAGCCAGGACGUGAGUAUAGCACUUGUCUUUGGGUGGUAGGACUGUUCUGGUUUUUCUGUAAGGUUGUACAGAGAAACCCGAAGGAACUUUUUGGCCAACCCAAUAUAAUAUAUGAUAAGCAGACAAGGGGCCUGUUUACUUGCAGUCAUGUGACCUUGGGUAAGUUGCUUCUCCUUUCUGUGCCUAAGCUUCCCCAUCAACAUGAAUACCUCCCUUGGCUGUUAGGAAGGUUAAAUGAGAUCAUGCCUGUAGAUAGGGAACCUCUGGUGCUGGGGACACAGGAAGCACUCGAUCAACAUCACACCGUCACUUUGUUGUUGUCAUCGUUUGGUCCUGAUCGUGAUCGGACAUUUCCGUGGAUACCUGGAGGCUUGCCUCGAAGGCUUCGAGAGAAGAGGUAGUUGUGGGGAGGACAGAGAACCUGGCUUGCAACGAGCUGACCUGCUGUUUCCUGGCCAAGUGACUGCAGUCAGGGGCAGUAACUUCUGAGCCACUGUUCUUUCUGCACCACAGAGACUUUUGUGUGAAUCAAUAAGAUGUGAUGAUGUCAGGCCCUCCCCGCACUUCUCCUGGGGCUAUUGUUCCCUUCCCGUCCGGCUGCAGAGUCAAAAGACAAGCGGGAUUGGUUUUCUUUGUCCAGACAGCUCUCCUAACCAGAAAGGCUAGACCUGUGUGUGAAGAAGAGAAAGCUUGUAACCUGUAGCCCCCUUCAGACCUGCUGGGAAGGUUUCACGGAUGCUGGGGAAUUGGGGCAUUUCUCAGGGCUUCGAGGCUGUCCCCAGGAGGCAGGACUGGGCUUGUUCUGUGAGGUCUCAAGGGAGGGGCCCGAGGACCAGUGGGUGGAAGCAAAGGAGGCGGCAGGUUUCAGAAUCCUAGAAGGGAGAGCUCUCUACCUAGCGGAGGUGUGCGAAGGUGGACCUUGGCCAUUGGGGCAGGGUGCUCUCCAUGGCAGUGGCGAGAGCAGGGGCCUCACUCUCGCGGGCAAGCUCUUGAAGAUGUGAGGCUUUGGCUGUGAAGUUCAGCCAGUGAACUUUGAGGCCCCUUCCAGCCUUGUCAUGCUGGGACCUCCUGACUCCGUGACCUCUGCUUCUGCAUACUGGACCACUUCCCAGCAUUUCCCUUUAAACAACCCCCUGUCCUCCAGGCUCCCAACUGUAGCUGUCUUCAUAAACACAUGGGUGGCCUCCUUGCCUCUUCUGUUUUUCUUUUAGCUAUUUUGAGAACGAAGCUAUAGAGACAUCUUGGAGUCUCCUCCUUUGUUACUGAGAAAGCAUUUGCUUCCUUAAUGUCCAGGUCCUGAUGGGUCCUUUUCCUCUUCACUGUACCCUCUCCAGGACAGGCUGAGCUCAGAGGAGCCCCAGGCACCAAACUUGGGACAGUUUUGACUGGUUCUCAUGGGUAGGAGAUAGCCUCACAAAUAGAUCCCUUUCUCCUCUCUGCUGGGAAAGCAUACAAGGGGAUUAU
ensembl:lncRNA